ACAACCUUUGUCAUUGAAAGUAAAAGUGUUCUAUAAAGUCACUUGAAAGCCUCCACUAUGAAAAUUCUCAGGUUUCUAACAAGUUAAAGCUAACAAUAAUUAAUGAGAUUUUUGCUUUUUUCAAAGCAAGGGAAGUGCUCUACCAUCAGUUUAAGAGCCUGUAACAUUUUUCUACCUUGAGAAGGACAUUACACCAUACACAUCCACAUUACAGGCCUUUGUCAAAGCUCAAAAAUCCAAGGCCUACUUCAAGCGAUUUGAAGUCAAGUUUAAGAGAAGGCGAGAGGGGAAGACUGACUAUCGGCCCGGAUUCUCUUAAUUCAUCACGAUAAGAACAAGUGAUUACUAGAAGGAGCUUCUUUGUGAAUAUAACUGUGUGGUGUUUAGGAUGUGGUAUCAGUUCCAAGACUCGGGCCAGCUCACCACCUGUGAGGAGAAUAACUGCCACGAAAGACGAGGAAGUUAACGAAAUGGAAUAUGGAUUGCCCUCUUCUCAUUCUCUUAACACGGUUUGCUUAUCUGGGUACUUCAUUUUGGGCCGCCCUAGGUCUCUUGUUGCUGUUUGCUUAUCCAACCCCUGAGCUUCCAACACCAUACUUUUGUUCUUGCAUCGUGUUUUUGGUGGAGUUGCAUCCAGAGGGUUGUCAAAGGAUUCGUUGAAGAUGUUUCUCUUUUUGCAAAAAUUUGGAUUGGAUCUCACAAUAUUCAUUCAUGUCCUGUGGUUGGCAAUGUAAGGAAACAGAGAGGCUAUGUAUUUAGAAAACUCAUAUAAAUAGUUCUUGUAUAAUUGGAUUUUGCCAUUUUGGUAUGUGGUUGCCAAGUAUGCCUUGAUCUUUGUAUAUCUCGAGAGAGACAAGAUCGCUACAUUUGAAUGAUUUUAAGUUAGAUAUAA